UAAACAGGGAGGGGAACGGCCCUGGCAGAAACGAGGGGUGGGGUCUCUCUCUACAGGUUAAACAUCAAAUAGAGAAUUAAAGGAACUAGAGCUCACCACGACACAAGUUUGUACUUAAAAUAAAAAUGUUUAUUUUGUAAUUCAGGAGUGGAAUAAAAAUUGUACAACCCCCCAAACCCUAAUACAAAGCAUCGCACAGUCCCUGCUCCUCCAGGGAGACACUUAGAGCACAGAACAGCUCCUGGCAGCCCAGGAAUGGGCUCCCAACAUUCGCACCCAGACCAGUGGCUGCACUAGCUGGGCUGAGUGGAAUCGAUGGAACAGAGUCCCAGGGUUACUGGAGUCGGUGGCUGGUUUCAGGAAUCUCUGGGGCUGUGCGAUGCUUUGUAUUAGGGUUUGGGGUUUUGUACAAUUUUAUCCCUCUCCUGAAUUACAAAUUAAAGGAUUUUAUUUUAAGUACAAACUUGUGUCGUGGUGAGCUCUAGUUCCUUUAAUUCUAUAUUUGAUGUUUAACCUGUAGAGAGAGACCCCACCCCUCGUUUCUGCCAGGGCUGUUCCCCUCCCUGUGUAUAGCGAUCGCUUUCAUGUGAAGGGGCGGACCAGGACCCUGCUGAGAGUUCAGAGCUGUGGGUUGUAGGGUCCAGUCUGAAGUAUUAGAAAAUCAGUUGUGACAAAAGCCAGUCACUGUUCUGAAGGAGGGUGUCAGGAACUGAAGGGGGCUGGGAACCCAACACCUGGGCCACGAUCCUGAAAGGUACUUGAAGGAAUUUCUCUGCCCCUUUGUUGCGGAGUGUGGCGGAGUUAGGGCCCUGCACCCCUCUUCCCGAGAUUCACUGCGACUCUCAACCAGCCAGUAAAGCAGAAGGUUUAUUUAAGGACAGGAACACAGUCUCAAGCAGAGCGUGUAGGUACGACCAGACCCCCUCAAUUAGGUCCCUCUGGGAGGUUCAGGGAGGUUAGACCCCAGCUUGGGGUUCCCUGCGUUGCACCAUCCAGCCCAAACCGAAACUAAACUCCCAACUCCUCCCGCUGCUCCUCUCCUUUGUUCAGUCUCCCGGGCAGAAGGUGUUAAUUCUCCCCACCCCCGUUCCUGGCUCAGGUUACAGCUCAGGUAGCUUCCUUCAAGGGAAGUCCCCCCUCCUCACUGCAAUCCCCCUGCAACAUUCCCAGGUCAAAUCUGCCCUGCUCCGUCACACCCUUUAGACUCUAAGAUCCCUCUUACACAUCUUUAGCAUUUUCAAACCUACCUCUUAGUUGUCACCUUAGAUCAUAGACCCCUCUGGGAUGCCAAAUUAAAUAGAGCUUCUUAGUGGAAAUAAACAGUGUGUUGACUGUCUGUCGCUGUCUUUA
rnacentral:lncRNA from 1 species